UUUUAUUACAGGGAACGCGCUUUAAGAACAGCCAAAAUCACCGUCCGAAAGUAUAUCAAGUUUAUCUGGAAAGACGUAAGAUCGAUAUUAAACGCAAAAUAUUUGGAUGUGAACGUCAGAAAUCGACUUGUCGCCUCUGUUUGCUCCAUUAACGCCCAUUUCACGAGGAGCUGAGGAGAAAACAACCGCGUAAAACACGUCAAAGCGUUAAUAUGUUUAACAUGCGCUAUAUGAAUUAAGAGGAAGUGUGUAUUUUGCUGCAGGAACGACAGACAGACAGACGGACGGUAAUGUGAUCAUCUAUAAGAGGAGCUCCAGAAACCAGGAGUCCCGGCUCGGGUUGACGGAGGCCGCGUGUCCCGCCCUGACCCCGGCGAGGAGGAUCAGUUCAGCACUGAAUGUCGAGCCUCAACGCAUUCAAAUCAAUCAGCCCGUGUGACGUCAUCAGGCACGUGACCGGUGCGGUUCGCCGGAGGUGUUUGAUCUGAGGCCCUGAAACCCCAGAGAGGCCGACCCUCCACUCGCUCUGCAGGAUUAUUGUGGAUUUUCGAGACCGCCUCGUCCUACGCAAUCAGAUGAAGAGACUCGCAGACUGCACUGACACUGGGUUAAGUUGUGCAGGAUUCCUCUUUGUCAGAUUUGACUCUUCUGACUCAUCUGAUGGAACAAAUGAAAACUUUACUCAUUAAUCACUGACCAGUUUUUCACAGUAGCUGACAUUCAGAUUUAACAUGCUACAGUGCACUGUCAAAAAAUAUCUGUCAAUCAAUUCACAAGUGAUUUCCAUUUAUUUGCGGUGGUGAAUUGCAUUAAUGGAUGUUGAUCUCUGCUCUGUCGACUGUUGAUGUUGAAAAUUUAACUCUACAGUUUAACUAAAUGACUUUUAUUGACAUUUUAGUAGUUUAAAAUAAUAUAAUGUAUAAGAAAUAAUAUCUAGAGAAAUAACUAUGCCCACACCGAAUCUGCACAGGUUUUCCGCAGAUUUUUAGCCCAUCAUUAAUUCUGUUUCUUUACUUGAGUAAAUGUGUGUAAAUCUAUAUUUAUUCAGUUUUAAAAGUAAUUACAGUAAUAUUAUUGACUAAUAUGAAAAUGUUCAUCUGAUUUAUGCAUAAUGCAGUUUGUACAGUCAUAUUUUCUGUCUUUUAGUAGAGA